rnacentral:lncRNA from 1 species
AAUACUUCAGUAGUUAAAAUGGCUUCGAUUUUUUUUCAUUCAAAUACUAUUUUUUCUUACUAGGUACUUGAGUGACAUGAGUCUCUUAAUCAUUUGAAAGUUAAAGCCUCAUCAACCAGCCCUACAGAAUAAAGAAUAUGAAGCAUCCCAUGCUGCACUGCAUAUUCAAGGUUCUGUUACCCACUGUGCAGUACAAUAAGAUAUUUUGAGAUCAAGAUGACUGACUAGAAGAAUUCAGCACAUGCCUCCUUCACAAAGAAAGAUAAAAACAGCAACUAGAUAACCACAUGUAGAAUUAAGCAUCUAAAGGACACUGGAAUUCAGCAUAAAACUGAUGAAGACCCUCUGAAUCCCAAGAAACUCAAGAUGGCAGCUUAGAGAGGGAAGCAAACCAACCAGCCUAGAUUGGCUCAGAGCCAAGAGAGACUGCCAAUAGCAAGAGCAAUUAAGC